rnacentral:misc_RNA from 1 species
CGACCUUCAGAAAUGGUGUUGAGGAUUGUCGCGCGCGGCACCCUUGAAAUUCAUCGGCGGCGGCGAAUGGCCCGGAACGCAGCAAAAUGCAAUCCAGCCUGAGCAACCAGCCAAAACACACCCGCCUUCGGGCGAUAUUUUACA